GUGCCGAGGGAACCGAGUGCAGUCAGAACGCAGCGAUCCGGUCUGAUCCGGUUUGUAACCUCAGGGUAUGGAAUUAUCUCUUAAUAUGUAGCUGUUAGUGGUCAAGACGUCACACAGCCGGAGAGCCGGAGAGCGGGCCGGGCUGGGAGCUGCCCACCCCAGUGAGUCUCCGGCCCCACGACUGGACUCCAACCUCUCCAUGUGGGACUGCAGCCGGUGCUGGUAGUCAGUUAUCUCAUCCGGGUCGGACUGAGCUCAGCGCUGUAGCACUCGGGUCGGUCCUCCCCCGGCUUCGUCUUCUGGUUGGAGCGGCCCUGUGACCGGCAGCGGGGCUCCCAGAGAGCAGAGCAUCGACUACCAUCACUGGCUGCAGCCUGAGACCGUUGAAGUGAAGGCUGAGCAGGAUGAGAGGCUCCCUGGAGAGGCAGCCCGAUGACACGGAGGUGGAGAACAAGUGUCCAGGUGGAAAACCAGCGACCAAGCUUUGAAACUAAACAGGCCGGAGCAGAGACAAUGACGUCUGUUCAACUACAGCGACAGUACGGCUGGAAACAGAUAUGAUCAUCCAACAUCUACGGCUCCUUCAAGUCGACAGCCUCAUAAAUUCGUCCCAAUCUUGGGUUUGCACCGAACACAUCUUCUAGCAUCACGUCCAAAAGGUCCAACUUCAGCCUCAUCAAACCAACAACACAUUAUUCCACCUGGUUUUGGGAGACUGGGUGUUUUUUUAUUUUUUUAGUUUUUGUAACCUUAAGCCGGCCUUGGAUAUUUCUUUUGGUUUAGAAAGUUUUAUGUGACAAAGCAGCUCCACUGUACUUCUGUGGACAGUAUGCGUUGUUCUGCUCAGAAUGUGUCGGCCCGUCUCCAUCUGAAAUGCCUUUUGAUUAAACAAAUUGUCAGCAAGCAGUUUACAACUGAUGCUCUAUUGAUUUGGUACAGUACAGCUUUAAUGCACAUCAGAAACCGCUGCUUGCUAAAUGGAAAAGAAACUGUUCUGUUUUUUUUAUUUGCACCAAUAAAGUUGUGCAGUUUUGAGGCAUUUUGUCUGCCGUCAGUUAUAUCGUCCUGCCCUAGCAGAUACCCACCAAAGAAGUCAUCACUGUAGCUCGGUCUAAGCACAUUAAGGGCUUUGUUUAAAGGAGGAGGACCAUAAAAUCAAUGUUAAGUGUCACAGGAAGUCAGUGCAGAGCAGCUAAAACUGGACUCUGAGUUCUGGUUAACAGCUGACGGAGGUGAAGUCUCACUGUUAGCAGGAGGACAGUAAAAAGUGCACCAAUUAUUAGCCCUGAAACAAUCUUCAUACUAAUGAUUGGAGGGGUGGAUAUCAGACUUUUUAAGAGUAUCUGGAACGGUGGCAGUUUAACAGAUCCGUCUUAUGACUUCAUGACUUGAAGGUCCGCUGUAGGUCCAGGAGCAGCACACGAGCAGUGGAGGAGCUCAGUAAAUGUAAUAAAGGAGAAUUUCCCCACGGCUCCACCUUCUUCACAGGGGUUAGGCAGGUCAUCGGUGUUUACAUCAGCAGCAGCAGCACGAGCUCUUAUUGUUGUGUUUCUGAGGAACACUUCAUCCACAUUUUGUUGUAGGAGGACGUUGAGCAGCUGGUAAACAGUAGAGAAUAAUAUUCUAGGAUGUACGGCGUGCUUUAGUUAUACUUCAGUCACUGCUGCUGAUCACUAAAGGUGCAAUAUUUCAUACAUACAUUACUCUGACUCUGUUAUUUUUAUACUGUCUAUAUUCAGCUCUUUUCCCGUGCACUAGUUUUUCUUAUUUAUAUAUAUAUAUAAGAAAAACUAUAUAUAUAUAUGUAGAUAUAUUCCUAGUUAUACGUUUACAGUAUUUACUGACCAGUCACUGCCUCACAAGCUCCACUUCUGUGUCCUCCGGUAGCCGAGCGACGACAUCACGUUGGCAGAUUCACGGUUGUGUUUUUGUGCAUUGACAAUAAAGAAAGUCUGAUCCGUA